ACGCACGCUGGCGGCGUGCUUAACCCCUGCCAGUCGCACGGAAAGGCCCUGCUUUUGUGGGGUGCUCGCGUGGCGAACGGGUGAGUAACACGUGAGUAACCUGCCCUUGACUUUGGGAUAACUUCAGGAAACUGGGGCUAAUACCGGAUAGGAGCUCCUGCUGCAUGGUGGGGGUUGGAAAGUUUCGGCGGUUGGGGAUGGACUCGCGGCUUAUCAGCUUGUUGGUGGGGUAGUGGCUUACCAAGGCUUUGACGGGUAGCCGGCCUGAGAGGGUGACCGGCCACAUUGGGACUGAGAUACGGCCCAGACUCCUACGGGAGGCAGAAGUGGGGAAUAUUGCACAAUGGGCGGAAGCCUGAUGCAGCAACGCCGCGUGCGGGAUGACGGCCUUCGGGUUGUAAACCGCUUUCGCCUGUGACGAAGCGUGAGUGACGGUAAUGGGUAAAGAAGCACCGGCUAACUACGUG
rnacentral:rRNA from 1 species